rnacentral:rRNA from 1 species
UUCUUUUUCCACCGGAGCUUGCUCCACCGGAAAAAGAGGAGUGGCGAACGGGUGAGUAACACGUGGGUAACCUGCCCAUCAGAAGGGGAUAACACUUGGAAACAGGUGCUAAUACCGUAUAACAAUCAAAACCGCAUGGUUUUGAUUUGAAAGGCGCUUUCGGGUGUCGCUGAUGGAUGGACCCGCGGUGCAUUAGCUAGUUGGUGAGGUAACGGCUCACCAAGGCCACGAUGCAUAGCCGACCUGAGAGGGUGAUCGGCCACAUUGGGACUGAGACACGGCCCAAACUCCUACGGGAGGCAGCAGUAGGGAAUCUUCGGCAAUGGACGAAAGUCUGACCGAGCAACGCCGCGUGAGUGAAGAAGGUUUUCGGAUCGUAAAACUCUGUUGUUAGAGAAGAACAAGGAUGAGAGUAACUGUUCAUCCCUUGACGGUAUCUAACCAGAAAGCCACGGCUAACUACGUGCCAGCAGCCGCGGUAAUACGUAGGUGGCAAGCGUUGUCCGGAUUUAUUGGGCGUAAAGCGAGCGCAGGCGGUUUCUUAAGUCUGAUGUGAAAGCCCCCGGCUCAACCGGGGAGGGUCAUUGGAAACUGGGAGACUUGAGUGCAGAAGAGGAGAGUGGAAUUCCAUGUGUAGCGGUGAAAUGCGUAGAUAUAUGGAGGAACACCAGUGGCGAAGGCGGCUCUCUGGUCUGUAACUGACGCUGAGCUUCGAAA